rnacentral:rRNA from 1 species
CUGAACCAGCCAAGUAGCGUGAAGGAUGACUGCCCUAUGGGUUGUAAACUUCUUUUAUAAAGGAAUAAAGUCGGGUAUGUAUACCCGUUUGCAUGUACUUUAUGAAUAAGGAUCGGCUAACUCCGUGCCAGCAGCCGCGGUAAUACGGAGGAUGCGAGCGUUAUCCGGAUUUAUUGGGUUUAAAGGGUGCGUAGGUGGUUUUUUAAGUCAGUUGUGAAAGUUUGCGG